UACGUAGGGGGCAAGCGUUGUCCGGAUUUAUUGGGCGUAAAGAGCGUGUAGGCGGCUAUACAGGUCCGCUGUGAAAACUCGAGGCUCAACCUCCGAGACGUCGGUGGAAACCGUAUGGCUAGAGUCCGGAAGAGGAGAGUGGAAUUCCUGGUGUAGCGGUGAAAUGCGCAGAUAUCAGGAAGAACACCCGUGGCGAAGGCGGCUCUCUGGGACGGUACUGACGCUGAGACGCGAAAGCGUGGGGAGCGAACAGG
rnacentral:rRNA from 1 species